rnacentral:lncRNA from 1 species
GUCUAUCUCCCCCAAUUCUGACAAAAAUUUUGCUGUGAAUUUUCGGCAAAGAUGAAGAUGUUGAUCGAAGAAGAGUUGGAGUUCGAAGGUGAGAACAAGGUUGAAGAAAUCGUUGUGGAUGAUACCGAAGAAAUUGAUAGUGAAGUUGAAGUUGAAGAAGACGACGGCGAGGACGACGACGAAGAUGAUGAUGACGCCGACGAAGAGGAGGAGGAAGAAGACGACGACGAUGAUGUGCAGGAGGUUUUCCAAAGCUCUGGCAGUGGUCCACCGGCUCAGCCGGUAGAAGCCGACGAUGACGACGAGGACGAGGACGAAGAGGAUGAAGACGAUGAUGGAGACGACGACGGAGAAGAUAGCGACGACGACGAUGACGAUGAGGAAGGUGAACAAGAGGAGGUAAUAUUUAUCUUCACUUUGACUAUUUUGUUUGAAUUAGUUAGCUUAUUACUUUGAGUAAAUCAUAUCUUAGUUG